rnacentral:pre_miRNA from 1 species
AAACUGGGGAACAUGGUAUAAUUGUUCUAUAAAUGGUCUUGUAUGGUUGAGGAUAGGAAGAUGCCUAUUCCCCCCCCC